rnacentral:rRNA from 1 species
GAUGAACGCUGGCGGCGUGCCUAAUACAUGCAAGUCGAGCGAACAGACGAGGAGCUUGCUCCUCUGACGUUAGCGGCGGACGGGUGAGUAACACGUGGAUAACCUACCUAUAAGACUGGGAUAACUUCGGGAAACCGGAGCUAAUACCGGAUAAUAUAUUGAACCGCAUGGUUCAGUAGUGAAAGACGGUUUUGCUGUCACUUAUAGAUGGAUCCGCGCCGCAUUAGCUAGUUGGUAAGGUAACGGCUUACCAAGGCAACGAUGCGUAGCCGACCUGAGAGGGUGAUAGGCCACACUGGAACUGAGACACGGUCCAGACUCCUACGGGAGGCAGCAGUAGGGAAUCUUCCGCAAUGGGCGAAAGCUUGACGGAGCAACGCCGCGUGAGUGAUGAAGGUCUUCGGAUCGUAAAACUCUGUUAUUAGGGAAGAACAAAUGUGUAAGUAACUAUGCACGUCUUGACGGUACCUAAUCAGAAAGCCACGGCUAACUACGUG